rnacentral:rRNA from 1 species
AGAAUCAACGCUGGCGGCGCGCCUAACACAUGCAAGUCGAACGAGAAAGUGGAGCAAUCCAUGAGUAAAGUGGCGCACGGGUGAGUAACACGUGACUAACCUACCCUUGAGUGGGGAAUAACCUAGGGAACCUGGGCUAAUACCGCAUAACACCUACGGGUCAAAGGAGCAAUUCGCUUAAGGAGGGGGUCGCGGCAGAUUAGCUAGUUGGCGGGGUAAUGGCCCACCAAGGCAGUGAUCUGUA